CAGUAGCCGCGGUAAUACGAAGGGUGCAAGCGUUAAUCGGAAUUACUGGGCGUAAAGCGCACGUAGGCGGAUCGAUCAGUCAGGGGUGAAAUCCCAGAGCUCAACUCUGGAACUGCCUUUGAUACUGUCGAUCUGGAGUAUGGAAGAGGUGAGUGGAAUUCCGAGUGUAGAGGUGAAAUUCGUAGAUAUUGGGAAGAACACCGGUGGCGAAGGCGGCGACCUGGUCCAUAACUGACGCUGAGGCGCGAAAGCGUGGGUAGCAAACAGGAUUAGAUACCCCCGUAGUCCCUGUCUCUUAUAC
rnacentral:rRNA from 1 species